AGUGAACGCUGGCGGUAGGCCUAACACAUGCAAGUCGAACGGCAGCACAGUAAGAGCUUGCUCUUACGGGUGGCGAGUGGCGGACGGGUGAGGAAUACAUCGGAAUCUACUUUUUCGUGGGGGAUAACGUAGGGAAACUUACGCUAAUACCGCAUACGACCUACGGGUGAAAGCAGGGGAUCUUCAGACCUUGCGCGAUUGAAUGAGCCGAUGUCGGAUUAGCUAGUUGGCGGGGUAAAGGCCCACCAAGGCGACGAUCCGUAGCUGGUCUGAGAGGAUGAUCAGCCACACUGGAACUGAGACACGGUCCAGACUCCUACGGGAGGCAGCAGUGGGGAAUAUUGGACAAUGGGCGCAAGCCUGAUCCAGCCAUACCGCGUGGGUGAAGAAGGCCUUCGGGUUGUAAAGCCCUUUUGCUGGGAAAGAAAAGCAGCAGGUUAAUACCCCGCUGUUCUGACGGUACCCAAAGAAUAAGCACCGGCUAACUUCGUG
rnacentral:rRNA from 1 species